AACGAACGCUGGCGGCAGGCCUAACACAUGCAAGUCGAGCGGACCUUUCGGGGUCAGCGGCGGACGGGUGAGUAACGCGUGGGAAUAUGCCCUUCUCUACGGAAUAGUCCUGGGAAACUGGGGGUAAUACCGUAUACGCCCUUUGGGGGAAAGAUUUAUCGGGGAAGGAUUAGCCCGCGUUGGAUUAGGUAGUUGGUGGGGUAAUGGCCUACCAAGCCGACGAUCCAUAGCUGGUUUGAGAGGAUGAUCAGCCACACUGGGACUGAGACACGGCCCAGACUCCUACGGGAGGCAGCAGUGGGGAAUCUUAGACAAUGGGGGCAACCCUGAUCUAGCCAUGCCGCGUGAGUGAUGAAGGCCUUAGGGUCGUAAAGCUCUUUCAGCUGGGAAGAUAAUGACGGUACCAGCAGAAGAAGCCCCGGCUAACUCCGUG
rnacentral:rRNA from 1 species